AAAAUAAAUUUAAAUUUGGUAGGACCCACAAUUUUUUAAGUGGUUAUGAGACCACCUUUUGGUUUCAUUUCUCUCAUUCCUCUCUCUCACUCCCGUAAGUCUCUCUCUCUCCCAUUCUAGAUUUUUCUUUUUUUUUCUUUCUUUUGGGUUUCAAGCUUCAAAAUUUGAUUUCUCCUUCAUUACUUAGAAUUUUUGGAAGCCGUUUGGGGCAAUUCGAAUAACACUGCAAGAUCUUCACAUCCAUAUAAGCAAUUUCAGUUGUAGUGCACUCUAGGGAUUCCGAUUUUGAGACCCAUUUGGGAAUUUUUGGCUUAAUUUGAGGACUCGGGAAGGAAGUAGGAGACGCAGACCCUUCACAAACUUAAGGAGGACUAGGAAUAUAUAUAUAUAUAUAUAUUUGCUAUCAUUUGUAUAUUCGCUACACUUUUGUAAAGUUUCAAAACCAUAGUGAAGUGUAUGCAUUUUGCAAGCCAUGGUCAUGUAUUGUAAACUAUAACUCUUGUCGGUAUUUUGAGGGGAAGCGAGACUAUAUAAAUAUUUUGUGUUGAAUGGAUU